rnacentral:rRNA from 1 species
UACGGAGGGUGCAAGCGUUGUCCGGAAUCACUGGGCGUAAAGGGCGCGUAGGCGGCUCAUGAAGGCUGUGGUGAAAGUCCGGGCUCAACCUCGGAUCGGCCGUGGCGACUCGUGGGCUGGAGCACUGUAGAGGCGGGUGGAAUUCCGGGUGUAGCGGUGGAAUGCGCAGAUAUCAGGAGGAACGACCGAUGGCGAAGGCAGGUCUCUGGGCAUUAACUGACGCUGAGGAGCGAAAGCAUGGGAGCGAACAGG